GAUGAACGCUGGCGGCGUGCUUAACACAUGCAAGUCGAACGGAAAGGCUCCUGCUUGCAGGGGUACUCGAGUGGCGAACGGGUGAGUAACACGUGGGUGAUCUGCCCUGCACUUCGGGAUAAGCCUGGGAAACUGGGUCUAAUACCGGAUAGGACGAUGGUUUGGAUGCCAUUGUGGAAAGUUUUUCGGUGUGGGAUGAGCUCGCGGCCUAUCAGCUUGUUGGUGGGGUAAUGGCCUACCAAGGCGUCGACGGGUAGCCGGCCUGAGAGGGUGUACGGCCACAUUGGGACCGAGAUACGGCCCAGACUCCUACGGGAGGCAGCAGUGGGGAAUAUUGCACAAUGGGCGCAAGCCUGAUGCAGCGACGCCGCGUGGGGGAUGACGGCCUUCGGGUUGUAAACUCCUUUCGCUAGGGACGAAGCGCAAGUGACGGUACCUGGAGAAGAAGCACCGGCUAACUACGUG
rnacentral:rRNA from 1 species